GCUGUAACUGGAAGCGAGGAUGCCCAUACUGAUUACAAGAGUUCAAAUCAGAAUAGGAUGGAAGAGUGGGGUGCCUGCUACAAUGCUGAAAAUAUACCAGAGGGCUACAAUAAAGGAACAGAAGAAACAAAGUCUCCAGAAAAUCCAUCAAAGAUGCCCUUCCCCUAUAAGGUGCUCAAAGCCCUGGAUCCAGAAAUCUAUCGUAAUGUAGAAUUUGAUGUUUGGUUGGACAGCAGAAAAGGUUUGCUUGGAAUCAGAAGGAAGAUAUUAUAAUGCUCAUAUCCAGGAAGUUGGAAAUGAGAACAAUUCAGUAACAGUCUUCAUU
rnacentral:sRNA from 1 species